CUGAGAGACAAUUAUGUGUACUACAUUAGAGAGAUAAGCAUGUUUCUUGCCUUGGUUGAUGAAAGCCACUCAUUCCCCAAGCACUCUGAUUAAUCAUGACUGUACCAUGUUUGACUUUGCGUAACACCUUGUAUUUUGCCUUCGCUUGUUUCACUGAAACUACAUUUUAGUUGGCUUGCCUUUUCUGCGAGCAUCGUGUGUGAUGAUGAAUCUUGGACCUUUGGCUAAAACUUAAUGAUAUAAAUGCAUGGCUGUGUAUGCAUAUGAAGACUGUGACUUUGCAAUGGUUGUAUUUGUCUUUAAUGGAAUAUGUUCACUGAUGUUUUUCAGCAAAUGAGGAGUGACAAAGUAAAUCAGGCUGCAAGAAGGCAUCAAAGGAAAAGGAGACGUUCCAGAAAAUCCAAGAGACGCUGUUAUUCUACGACAAGGCAGGCAGUCAAUGCCCAGUAUAAACUCUGCAUCCCACCAUUUCCCGCUAUCACUCCAGUGCACACUGCCGUGAUCGCUGACCAAGGUAAUACAACAUCUUCUUGGCUGUCUUUCUAAUCUUCCCUCAUCUGUAGCAUACUCUCUAACCCUGUGGCUAGAAAAUUAUGUCAGCAUGCCAUUUCCCUCCUAAAACCCCAUCCUCAACUCUCCCUCUCCUAACAAGGGUCCCAUCCAUAUCCUCCUGGCUCUCUUUGCCUCUGUCUAACACCCUGUAGUGCCCGGUCCAUUCCCACUCCAGCCCCUACCCUUGGCCUCACCGCAGUCUGGAACUCUCCCUCUGCCUCUGUACAGGAGGCUCUGCUUUUUCCUCUAAGCCCUGUCCAAUGGCACUUCUUCAGAUGGCUCUGCCCAAGGAGCCAGAGCCCCUGAGGCUCCCUCUGCUGCUGUCUCCCUCAGGCCUGUGGACUACUUCCCCAACACCAGCCCAAUGCUGCUUGUUUCAUUUGCUCAUUGUGUAUGUCCUGUCUGACUGCCCCAUGGGGAUAUGAGUCCCACAAAGGCAGGGACCGUUGCUCUCCAUCCUCUUUACUGCUGAUCCC
rnacentral:lncRNA from 13 species